rnacentral:rRNA from 1 species
GACGAACGCUGGCGGCGUGCUUAACACAUGCAAGUCGAACGGAAAGGCCCCCUUGUGGGGUACCCGAGUGGCGAACGGGUGAGUAACACGUGAGUAACCUACCCUUGACUUUGGGAUAACUUCAGGAAACUGGGGCUAAUACCGGAUAGGAGCUCCUGCUGCAUGGUGGGGGUUGGAAAGUUUCGGCGGUUGGGGAUGGACUCGCGGCUUAUCAGCUUGUUGGUGGGGUAGUGGCUCACCAAGGCUUUGACGGGUAGCCGGCCUGAGAGGGUGACCGGCCACAUGGGGGCUAGGGAAGGGCCCAGCCUCCUCCGGGGGGCAGAAGUGGGGAAGUUUGCACAAGGGGCGGAGGCGUAGAGCAGCAACGCCGGUGGGGGAGAGACGGCCUCCGGGUGUAAACCCGGUUUCGCGUUUGACAAGGGGGAGAUGACGGUAAUGGGUAAAAAAGCCCCGGCUAACUUCCG